rnacentral:piRNA from 1 species
UAAAUACAAUUGCAACUAUCAGAAAAAAAAA